rnacentral:rRNA from 1 species
UACGUAGGGGGCAAGCGUUGUCCGGAUUUAUUGGGCGUAAAGAGCGUGUAGGCGGCCAGAUAGGUCAGCUGUGAAAACUCGAGGCUCAACCUCGAGAUGUCGGCUGAAACCAUCUGGCUAGAGUCCGGAAGAGGAGAAUGGAAUUCCCGGUGUAGCGGUGAAAUGCGCAGAUAUCAGGAAGAACACCAAUGGCGAAGGCAGCUCUCUGGGACGGUACUGACGCUGAGACGCGAAAGCGUGGGGAGCGAACAGG